CCUGUUUUUAUUUUAACAUCCGGACCUGACGUUUGUUUUUAGGCGGAAACCCGUACCUGACAUUCCACUGUGCCAACCAGGGCACCAUACUGAUAGACCUUUCCCCGGAAGACAAGGAGUACCAGUCAGUGGAGGAGGAGAUGCAGAGCACCAUCCGCGAGCACCGGGAUGGGGGCAACGCUGGAGGCGUUUUCAGCCGAUACCACAUCAUCAAGAUUCAGAAGGUCGUGAACAAGAAGCUGAGGGAACGCUACACACACAGGCAGAAGGAGAUCGCCGACGAGAACCACAACCACCACAACGAGCGCAUGUU